GGCCGCUGCCCCGCUCCCACCCCUGCCCGCGGGCAGCCCCGCCGCGGUACGGGAGGUCUCCGCCCGCCGCCGAGCGGAGCGCGCUGCCCACAGGGUGCCCGUGCACCCGCAGCGCCGCCGGGGGGGAGCCGCCCGGCGCUCCCCGCCCACGGAGAAAGAGCAGAUGUGGCAUAUCAGAGUUUGGACUCACCAUCGCCUGUGUAUCUGAGGGUGGCAGAACGGCAUUUCAGUACCCAUCACCAUAUUAUCUAGGCGCCACCAUAAGAUUAAGAAGGUCUGCAGUGACAUUCUCAACAUGAUCUGUUCAAAGGUCGUUAGCAGAGCCUUUCAUACUGGAAAAGAUUGGAGGAGAGUACGGAAGUGAGCCACAGAAGGAGACAAAAAGGCAAAGGAGGCGUGCUGCAGAGACGACACCUGGAGAUUGGCACCGCUGCCUGCAGACAGCAUGAGCAACAUACCUUCCCCGACCCCAUGGAAAAUUUUCCAGAGCAAAUUGGAGGUCAGAGCGCCCACUCUGUGGCUCUGCAAGAGACAGAGAAGGAGGCAGAGCCAGAGGGCACACCAACACCCCCGAACGGGACAGUGACAAAGCAGAAGCUGCAGUCUCCAGUCCCGUGUUGCAGAGUCGCGCUGAAGCCAUUUGGCUGGCAAGACAUGGGUUGGCUUUCCAAGCAGGGACUGUAAGAGGUGACUUUGUGGUUUAUGAGUACCCUGUUCCCUUGUAUUCCAAAAAGAACUGGCAAAGAAGCUGCUGUCCACCAGCUUUCCAGAAGUUUUCCAUAGUUGUCUGACAUUCCCUAGGUAAUUGUGGCCUCUUUCUUUGAUGGAUUUAUUAAGAUCAUGUAUUAAUGCUUUUUUCUAACAUAUGCAAGCUUUCGAGAGAUCCAUCAAGGGAACAGGAAUUCUGUCCCUCCAGGAGACCCUGCCAAGGGUCAGAAUUUCCUAGUACAGAACUUGGGAAUUCAUCUAGGCAUUUUCUAAAAGAGGAGAGCUGUUCAGAGGUGCUGAGGCUGCAGGCCGAGUAGCUGGGACUCCAUGGUGUGCUGCUGGGGUGACAUAAACCAAGGGAGGACUUAGAGUAACAGGAGAGUGGGCUUAAGAAACAAGAUUUUUCUUCAUUAAAAGCAUUAAGGUCCA